rnacentral:rRNA from 1 species
CCUACGGGUGGCAGCAGGGAGGAAUAGUGGUCAAUGGGCGCGAGCCUGAACCAGCCAAGUCGCGGGAGGGAGGACGGCCCUACGGGUUGUAAACCUCUUUUGCCGGGGAGCAACGGGCGCCACGUGUGGCGUCACGGAGAGUACCCGGAGAAAAAGCAGCGGCGAACUCCGUGCCAGCAGCCGCGGUAAUACGGAGGAUGCGAGCGUUAUCCGGAUUGAUUGGGUUUAAAGGGUGCGUAGGCGGAUCGUUAAGUCAGUGGUCAAAUUGAGGGGCUCAACCCCUUCCCGCCAUUGAAACUGGCGUUCUUGAGUGGACGAGACGUCUGCGGCAUGCGUGGUGUAGCGG